UCUAACCAAGGUCCUGACACUGUCCCUAAGAAAGCCCUGUUGCUUUCCCUAAGCGAAGGCGUUAGGAUGUGCCUAACUCAGGCCCUGAGGCUAUGCCUAACUGAGGCCUUGAUGCUGUGACUACCUCAGGCCCUGAUUGUGUCUUUAACUAAGACCCUAUUGCUGAUCCAACAAAGGCCCUGAUGCGGCUCCUACAUCAUGCCCUGACAGUGUCCCCAGCUAAGGGCCUGACGGUAGGCUCACUCAGGCCCUGUUGCUCUCCCUCAGUCAGGCUCUGAUGCUGUCUCUACCUGAAGCCCUGACACUGGUCCUAAAAAAGGGCCUGAUACUGUCAGUUACUAAGGUCUUGACACUAUCCCUACGUCAUUUCCUGACACGACCCCUAAACUUUACCUUAACCCUAUCCCUAGCAAAUGUCCUGAAAAGGCCCUGGAAAAGGCUUUAGCAAAGCCCCUGAGGCUGAUCCUACCGAGGCCCUUAUGUUACUCCUAAGUCAUGCCCUGACACUGUCCCUAAUUAAGGCCCUGAUGCUAGGCCUCACUCAAGCCCUGUCGCUCUCCUUAAUUCCGGCUCUGACGGUGUCCCUAUCUGAAGCCCUAACACUGAUCCUAAAUUCGGCCCUGAUGCUCUAAGUAACUAAGGUCUUGGCACUAUCCCUAGGUCAUGUCUUGACACUAUCCCUAG